AUUUCUUGCGUUCUGGUCUUUUUGCGUUUUAGGUUAAAAAAAUCUAUUUUUUAAUGAAAAUUUUCUCAAAUUAUUCCAAUUCUUUGUCGAUUAACUAGGAAAAAAUCAAGGAUCAAAAGCCUCUAUUUAGGGACUAAAUAGUGGAAGCCAUCCUAAAAACCCGAAAUUCCUUAUUUUUCUAUUUUUUAUGAUUUAUUUUCUGUGUGGGGUUGAAUAAGUAUGUUUGUAAUAUUUCAGAAGUUGGCAGAAAAAAAAU
rnacentral:lncRNA from 1 species